UCCUCUUCGUAUUUCCACACAUCAUUUCUUCCUCAAAAUGACAUCUGUUUCUGGAAGGUGAAGCCGUUUGAGAGAAGCGUGAAAUGAUGCGAGAAGCAUGUAAAAUCAGAUAUGAUUGACGCUAUUUCUUUGAUCUUUCCGAGUUCCGAAUGUUCGCAAACAGUG
ensembl:ncRNA C18A3.19 ncRNA